GACGACGUGCCCGAGUGGUUAAGGGGAACGCCUGCUACACGGCGUGUGCGUCGCUUCAAUACGUGACGCACCGUCGAGGACAAAAUACGAGAUUUGCCAACGACGGUUGGUGUAACCGGCGACAUGCAGCCGAGUGUUUGUGCAACGCACGCGCGAGUUCGAAUCUCGUCGUCGUCG
rnacentral:tRNA from 1 species